AUAAUAUGAACAAUAGGAUUGAAAUUUUUCAGCCAAUUAAAAUUCCCCAAUCUCAAUAAGCAAACACAAAUACUUUAUAAUUGCGAAAACAACAACGACCCCACUUAAGAGAGAGAGAGAAAUGACAUGACGAUUAUUCUUAGGUACAAGACAAGCACUAAAUCAUAAUUACUGACGAAUGAUGAUGAUCCUGGAGGACCUUAUGUAUAUAUGACACAACUUGGCCUGUCAGGACGAUUUCUGGCAGGGCAAAGGGAGCUCACACAAAAGGAGCCAACAACUAUACGCCAUGAGUUUUCUUGGAACAACUGCAGAAAACAGAAGGGUCAGUGACAUACAAAGGCAAUCAGGUGAAUCCCUGGAGCCAACUUGGGAGAAACCUGCCAGAGUAGAAUUCCAACAAUUGAUGCAUAAAAAUUUAGCAUCACCAAGCAAAAGAAGACGACGUGGUAAGUUCAAGGCUAAAUAGCAAAGUUUCCAUUGCUAUUGACAGCCCACAAGGCUGCAAAGCACAAAUGUGUUGGCCCAUCCUUUCUUCUUGCUGGGGAUUGCUAAUGCUUCUAAUUAUAUCAGCUGGACGCUCUUGGAUAUUGCUUUCCAUCUCAACUUCAUUGCCGGUUGGGCUCUUUUAUCGGUUCCAUGGAUUGCUCACGAGCUGAAAAAGAGAAGGAAAAGUUACUUUUAUACCAUAAUUCUGUUAAAAAAAUAGUCUAAUUGAUAGUGGGUUCACUCAAUAUAAAACCACAGAACAGGCAUUGCUAUUUUUGUAAAUUUUCUAUGAUGGCAUUGGUUAAUUCAGCUAUUAAAAACAGCAGAAAUAAGCUAGAAAUUAAAGAAAAAGAAAAGAUUGGAGGGUGGGAUGGACCUUGUCCAAAUUGGAGUGAAGCGGGAGAGAGAUGUUGCUUUUCGCCCAUCAGGCCCUUUUAUAGUGUCUUAAGUGUCUUGAGAAAAUGGGACAGAGCUUUGUAGGUAACGAAUUGAUUGAUU
rnacentral:lncRNA from 1 species